rnacentral:rRNA from 1 species
UACGAAGGGGGCGAGCGUUGUUCGGAAUCACUGGGCGUAAAGGGUGCGUAGGCGGCGCGGUAAGUCGGGUGUGAAAUCUUGGAGCUUAACUCCGAAACUGCAUUCGAUACUGCGGUGCUUGAGGACUGGAGAGGAGACUGGAAUUCAUGGUGUAGCAGUGAAAUGCGUAGAGAUCAUGAGGAAGACCAGUGGCGAAGGCGGGUCUCUGGACAGUUCCUGACACUGAGGCACGAAGGCCAGGGGAGCAAACGGG